rnacentral:rRNA from 1 species
GGGUUGUGAGGUUAAGCGACUAAGCGUACACGGUGGAUGCCCUGGCAGUCAGAGGCGAUGAAGGGCGUGCUAAUCUGCGAUAAGCGCCGGUAAGGUGAUAUGAACCGUUAUAACCGGCGAUACCCGAAUGGGGAAACCCAGUGUGAUUCGUCACACUAUCAUUAACUGAAUCCAUAGGUUAAUGAGGCGAACCGGGGGAACUGAAACAUCUAAGUACCCCGAGGAAAAGAAAUCAACCGAGAUUCCCCCAGUAGCGGCGAGCGAACGGGGAGGAGCCCAGAGCCUGAAUCAGCAUGUGUGUUAGUGGAAGCGUCUGGAAAGGCGCGCGAUACAGGGUGACAGCCCCGUACACAAAAGCGCAUGUGCUGUGAGCUCGAUGAGUAGGGCGGGACACGUGGUAUCCUGUCUGAAUAUGGGGGGACCAUCCUCCAAGGCUAAAUACUCCUGACUGACCGAUAGUGAACCAGUACCGUGAGGGAAAGGCGAAAAGAACCCCGGCGAGGGGAGUGAAAAAGAACCUGAAACCGUGUACGUACAAGCAGUGGGAGCACAGGUUUACCUGUGUGACUGCGUACCUUUUGUAUAAUGGGUCAGCGACUUAUAUUCUGUAGCAAGGUUAACCGAAUAGGGGAGCCGGAGGGAAACCGAGUCUUAACCGGGCGUUAAGUUGCAGGGUAUAGACCCGAAACCCGGUGAUCUAGCCAUGGGCAGGUUGAAGGUUGGGUAACACUAACUGGAGGACCGAACCGACUAAUGUUGAAAAAUUAGCGGAUGACCUGUGGCUGGGGGUGAAAGGCCAAUCAAACCGGGAGAUAGCUGGUUCUCCCCGAAAGCUAUUUAGGUAGCGCCUCGUGAAUUCAUCUCCGGGGGUAGAGCACUGUUUCGGCUAGGGGGCCAUCCCGGCUUACCAACCCGAUGCAAACUGCGAAUACCGGAGAAUGUUAUCACGGGAGACACACGGCGGGUGCUAACGUCCGUCGUGAAGAGGGAAACAACCCAGACCGCCAGCUAAGGUCCCAAAGUCAUGGUUAAGUGGGAAACGAUGUGGGAAGGCCCAGACAGCCAGGAUGUUGGCUUAGAAGCAGCCAUCAUUUAAAGAAAGCGUAAUAGCUCACUGGUCGAGUCGGCCUGCGCGGAAGAUGUAACGGGGCUAAACCAUGCACCGAAGCUGCGGCAGCGAACGUAUCACUUAAAGCGAUUCAGCGGGUUACGAUUGACGGAGCGAAGCGACGUCAAAGCGUAUACAAAGUCGAGUCGGUUUAAGGAUACGUUCGUUGGGUAGGGGAGCGUUCUGUAAGCCUGUGAAGGUGGCCUGUGAGGGUUGCUGGAGGUAUCAGAAGUGCGAAUGCUGACAUAAGUAACGAUAAAGCGGGUGAAAAGCCCGCUCGCCGGAAGACCAAGGGUUCCUGUCCAACGUUAAUCGGGGCAGGGUGAGUCGACCCCUAAGGCGAGGCCGAAAGGCGUAGUCGAUGGGAAACGGGUUAAUAUUCCCGUACUUGGUGUUACUGCGAAGGGGGGACGGAGAAGGCUAUGUUGGCCGGGCGACGGUUGUCCCGGUUUAAGCGUGUAGGUGUGUGUUCCAGGUAAAUCCGGUUCACUUUAACACUGAGGCGUGAUGACGAGGCACUACGGUGCUGAAGCAACAAAUGCCCUGCUUCCAGGAAAAGCCUCUAAGCAUCAGGUAACAUCAAAUCGUACCCCAAACCGACACAGGUGGUCAGGUAGAGAAUACCAAGGCGCUUGAGAGAACUCGGGUGAAGGAACUAGGCAAAAUGGUGCCGUAACUUCGGGAGAAGGCACGCUGACACGUAGGUGAAGUGAUUUACUCAUGGAGCUGAAGUCAGUCGAAGAUACCAGCUGGCUGCAACUGUUUAUUAAAAACACAGCACUGUGCAAACACGAAAGUGGACGUAUACGGUGUGACGCCUGCCCGGUGCCGGAAGGUUAAUUGAUGGGGUCAGCGCAAGCGAAGCUCCUGAUCGAAGCCCCGGUAAACGGCGGCCGUAACUAUAACGGUCCUAAGGUAGCGAAAUUCCUUGUCGGGUAAGUUCCGACCUGCACGAAUGGCGUAAUGAUGGCCAGGCUGUCUCCACCCGAGACUCAGUGAAAUUGAACUCGCUGUGAAGAUGCAGUGUACCCGCGGCAAGACGGAAAGACCCCGUGAACCUUUACUAUAGCUUGACACUGAACAUUGAGCCUUGAUGUGUAGGAUAGGUGGGAGGCUUUGAAGCGUGGACGCCAGUCUGCGUGGAGCCGACCUUGAAAUACCACCCUUUAAUGUUUGAUGUUCUAACGUGGACCCGUGAUCCGGGUUGCGGACAGUGUCUGGUGGGUAGUUUGACUGGGGCGGUCUCCUCCUAAAGAGUAACGGAGGAGCACGAAGGUUGGCUAAUCCUGGUCGGACAUCAGGAGGUUAGUGCAAUGGCAUAAGCCAGCUUGACUGCGAGCGUGACGGCGCGAGCAGGUGCGAAAGCAGGUCAUAGUGAUCCGGUGGUUCUGAAUGGAAGGGCCAUCGCUCAACGGAUAAAAGGUACUCCGGGGAUAACAGGCUGAUACCGCCCAAGAGUUCAUAUCGACGGCGGUGUUUGGCACCUCGAUGUCGGCUCAUCACAUCCUGGGGCUGAAGUAGGUCCCAAGGGUAUGGCUGUUCGCCAUUUAAAGUGGUACGCGAGCUGGGUUUAGAACGUCGUGAGACAGUUCGGUCCCUAUCUGCCGUGGGCGCUGGAGAACUGAGGGGGGCUGCUCCUAGUACGAGAGGACCGGAGUGGACGCAUCACUGGUGUUCGGGUUGUCAUGCCAAUGGCACUGCCCGGUAGCUAAAUGCGGAAGAGAUAAGUGCUGAAAGCAUCUAAGCACGAAACUUGCCCCGAGAUGAGUUCUCCCUGAGACUUAGAGUCUCCUGAAGGAACGUUGAAGACGACGACGUUGAUAGGCCGGGUGUGUAAGCGCAGCGAUGCGUUGAGCUAACCGGUACUAAUGAACCGUGAGGCUUAACCUUACAACGCCGAAG